rnacentral:rRNA from 1 species
GAAACUCUGAUGCAGCAACGCCGCGUGGAGGAUGACGCAUUUCGGUGUGUAAACUCCUUUUAUAAGGGAAGAUAAUGACGGUACCUUAUGAAUAAGCACCGGCUAACUCCGUGCCAGCAGCCGCGGUAAUA